CUACACUGAAUGCGCUUCAGACCUGGGGGGGAGAGGAAGGGUCGGGUUUUUUCCAUUUUUCUGGCUGCACAGGCUCCCUGGGUUUCAAGGAUGUGGGAAUGUGUUUCUGGUAGUCUGUUCCUGGUGAUGUGAUUGGUUUUGAAGUGUGAUUGGUCAAAAGGUUUGCCUGUUUUGGAGAUGUUCCUUCCACUUGGGGAUUUUGGAAUGUUCCCCUGACUAGAGAUUUUACCAAAUCUUUCUGAAUGAACACUGAGCUCUGCUCUCUCUCCCCUCCGGCCGAUUUCCAUAUCUAACUGUCUCUGGACGUGUGCCCUGCACUUUUUUGAAGAUUAAAAUUUUUAUGUGAACUUUGAUCUACAUUUCCACUAGUUGAAAGCUUGGAAAGGUGGAGUUAAAGAAAAAUAAACUCAAAGCGAAAAGAAGUCUGGACAUCCAGCCAGCAACACACCACACUUGUGGACAGAAGAAUGACUUUGGAUGGAAAACAACCAAAACUUGGAGACCUAAUUGAAAUUUCUCGCUACUGCUAUCAGCACUGGGUCAUCUAUGUGGGAAAUGGCUAUGUGGUCCAUCUGGCUCCACCAAGUGACUGACACCUUCACUGUGAUUGGUACUGCAUCAGUCGUCCUGGGUGUUGCUGGCCUCAUUGGGAUGAUGCUGUACAGAAGCAAGCGGGAAAAGCAGUAAAUGCAAGGCUUUAUCUUGGCGGCACUAGUUACCUUGGAGGAGUUUGAGCAAGCCAGUGGGAAUGGUUUAGUUUACAGGUUUCCCUGUUUUGUAAUCAUGAGCACUUGGUUUAAGUGGAGCUCAAUCAAAGCAUAGGAAGCUGUUUUCUGAGGGAAACGCUGCAUGGUAUGAAUUCUAUUAAAGAGCUGAUUGCACAAUG